UACGUAGGGUGCGAGCGUUAAUCGGAAUACUGGGCGUAAAGCGUGCGCAGGCGGUUUUGUAAGCCAGAUGUGAAAUCCCCGGGCUUAACCUGGGAAUGGCAUUUGGGACUGCAAGGCUGGAGUGCGGCAGAGGAGACUGGAAUUCCUGGUGUAGCAGUGAAAUGCGUAGAUAUCAGGAGGAACACCGAUGGCGAAGGCAGGUCUCUGGGCUGACACGUGACGCUCAUGCACGAAAGCGUG
rnacentral:rRNA from 1 species